ACUAUCUCACAGUGACAACGUUGUGCUCCAUUUUACUGGGAUUUUCCAGAGCUUAACGAGGUGGGGCAGCGUGACAUGUGGCUGGCUGUGAAAGUCACCCUGGCAAGGCACAUGUGGUAUCAGAAAGAGGAAAGGAGAGUUGCUGGAAACAAAGGUAUACUCUGGUUUCCCAAAUUGCUUCACUCCACAAACGUUUUCCAAGCCAUUUGUGAAUGGCCUUAAUUAAGAAGACUGGAAAUGUGUCUCCUGUCUCCUUCACAGGCCCCACCCCAAUGCCGUUCUGGGGUCCGAACCUUAGGGGCUAUUGAAAUGCCUGUCCCCAAUAUCGUAAGUGCUGUUUGCCGUUUUGUGUUGCUCUGUGAUUGUUUCAGAUAUUCAAACUCCGCUAGGUUUUGAAUCUUUACAAGCACGGGAAAUUCUCUUCUACUUUAAACAAAAUAUAGGAGGUCAUGCCCCGAUC
rnacentral:lncRNA from 1 species